GAUGAAGAACGUAGCGAAAUGCGAUAAGUAGUGUGAAUUGCAGAAUUCAGUGAAUCAUCGAAUCUUUGAACGCACAUUGCGCCCUUUGGUAUUCCUUAGGGCAUGCCUGUUCGAGCGUCAUUUGAAACCUCAAGCUCAGCUUGGUGUUGGGUGUCUGUCCCCGACUCACCGCGGGGACUCGCCUCAAAAUCAUUGGCGGCCGGUACGUUGGCUUCGAGCGCAGCAGAAACGCGAACUCGAGGCCCGGCGGAUCGGCGACCAGAAGUCACUUCUUCACAGUUUGACCUCGGAUCAGGUAGGGAUACCCGCUGAACUUAAGCAUAUCAAUAAGCGGAGGA
rnacentral:misc_RNA from 1 species